rnacentral:rRNA from 1 species
UACGUAGGGUGCAAGCGUUAAUCGGAAUUACUGGGCGUAAAGCGUACGUAGGCGGCUUUGUAAGUAAGAGGUGAAAGCCCGGAGCUCAACUCCGGAACUGCCUUUUAGACUGCAUCGCUUGAAUCCAGGAGAGGUGAGUGGAAUUCCGAGUGUAGAGGUGAAAUUCGUAGAUAUUCGGAAGAACACCAGUGGCGAAGGCGGCUCACUGGACUGGUAUUGACGCUGAGGUACGAAAGCGUGGGGAGCAAACAGG